rnacentral:rRNA from 1 species
AGUGAACGCUGGCGGCAGGCCUAACACAUGCAAGUCGAACGGCAGCACAAGAGAGCUUGCUCUCUGGGUGGCGAGUGGCGGACGGGUGAGGAAUGCAUCGGAAUCUGCCCAUUUGUGGGGGAUAACCUCGGGAAACCAGGACUAAUACCGCAUACGACCUACGGGCGAAAGCAGGGGAUCUUCGGACCUUGCGCAGAUGGAUGAGCCGAUGCCGGAUUAGCUAGUUGGAGGGGUAAAGGCCCACCAAGGCGACGAUCCGUAGCUGGUCUGAGAGGAUGAUCAGCCACACUGGGACUGAGACACGGCCCAGACUCCUACGGGAGGCAGCAGUGGGGAAUAUUGGACAAUGGGCGCAAGCCUGAUCCAGCCAUGCCGCGUGUGUGAAGAAGGCCUUCGGGUUGUAAAGCACUUUUGUUGGGAAAGAAAAGCAGCCGGUUAAUACCCGGUUGUCAUGACGGUACCCAAAGAAUAAGCACCGGCUAACUUCGUG